rnacentral:rRNA from 1 species
UACUCCUACGGGAGGCAGCAGUGGGGAAUUUUGGACAAUGGGGGAAACCCUGAUCCAGCCAUCCCGCGUGUGCGAUGAAGGCCUUCGGGUUGUAAAGCACUUUUGGCAGGAAAGAAACGUCGCGGGUUAAUACCCCGCGAAACUGACGGUACCUGCAGAAUAAGCACCGGCUAACUACGUGCCAGCAGCCGCGGUAAUACGUAGGGUGCAAGCGUUAAUCGGAAUUACUGGGCGUAAAGCGUGCGCAGGCGGUUCGGAAAGAAAGAUGUGAAAUCCCAGAGCUUAACUUUGGAACUGCAUUUUUAACUACCGGGCUAGAGUGUGUCAGAGGGAGGUGGAAUUCCGCGUGUAGCAGUGAAAUGCGUAGAUAUGCGGAGGAACACCGAUGGCGAAGGCAGCCUCCUGGGAUAACACUGACGCUCAUGCACGAAAGCGUGGGGAGCAAACAGGAUUAGAUACCCUGGUAGUCCACGCCCUAAACGAUGUCAACUAGCUGUUGGGGCCUUCGGGCCUUGGUAGCGCAGCUAACGCGUGAAGUUGACCGCCUGGGGAGUACGGUCGCAAGAUUAAAACUCAAAGGAAUUGACGG